UACGGAGGAUGCACGCGUUAUCCGGAAUGAUUGGGCGUAAAGCGUCCGCAGGUGGCUAUGUAAGUCUGCUGUUAAAGAGUGAGGCUCAACCUCAUAAAAGCAGUGGAAACUACAUGGCUAGAGUGCGUUCGGGGCAGAGGGAAUUCCUGGUGUAGCGGUGAAAUGCGUAGAUAUCAGGAAGAACACCGGUGGCGAAAGCGCUCUGCUAGGCCGCAACUGACACUGAGGGACGAAAGCUAGGGGAGCGAAUGGG
rnacentral:rRNA from 1 species